UACAGAGGUCCCAAGCGUUGUUCGGAUUCAUUGGGCGUAAAGGGCGCGUAGGCGGCGGGGUAAGUCGGGUGUGAAAUCUCAGAGCUCAACUCUGAAACUGCACUCGAUACUGCUCUGCUUGAGGACUGGAGAGGAGACUGGAAUUCACGGUGUAGCAGUGAAAUGCGUAGAUAUCGUGAGGAAGACCAGUGGGGAAGGCGGGUCUCUGGACAGUUCCUGACGCUGAGGCGCGAAGGCCAGGGGAGCAAACGGG
rnacentral:rRNA from 1 species